CUUGUCCCCUCCCCCACAACACUACACGUGGAUGUGGCUUCCUCAGUUCACCAUGCUCAUAAAGAAAACAGCAGUGUAUUUCAGCUGCAAGCCUGGGAAAGAACUGAGAAAACGUACUAGAGAGUCAAAAGAGUCAAGACAGACACCAGAAAGAGGCCCAAGAAGACUUGGACGCAGGAACAGAGGACAGCGAGGGAUGUUCAGAACUCACUCAGUCCGGUUUGGAGAAUGACUUCUCAACCCAAGACUAAGAGCAGCUGUAAGAAAGCAUCAGUUUGGAAGAAUUUGGGAAAAUGUAAAGUGCUAAAGAAGGUUCCCGGCAAAGAGGAUCGACUGUUAUGGGUCAGAGCCAGCUCUCACAAACAGAACAUGGAAAGACAUGAAAACCUGGUGCACAACAAAAUGCAAACAGAAAAGGCUCUCCGCAGAA